GCCCUCGUAGCUCAAUGGUAGAGCGCGUCACUAGUAGGUGUUACACUCGACAUGACGAGGUUGCCGGUUCGAUUCCGUCCGAGGGCA